rnacentral:lncRNA from 1 species
CUGGGGUGCUGGGAGCCAAGGCAUGGAACUGCAGUCGCCUCCCAAGUUCAGGGCCCUGGGUGGAGCUGCUGGCUGCAGCCAGGGCCAGGGAGCAGAGAUGCCCCUCUGCCACCCUGCCCCACCCCAGGCAAUGAAGAAACUCCAAGCUCUGGGUCCGUGGGAGGCACCAGGCAAACAGAGGAGUCAGCAAGCUAAACAUGCUAUUAGCAGCGAUGGAGAAGUGAUGAUUCUCUGCACAGCUGUCAGAAGCAGCUCCCCGCCGCCUGGCACCAGCACCUGGGGAGGGGCCUCCGCUCAUCGGCCUUCACAGAGAUGCCCCAGGCUGGGAAAGAAAGACCAGCAGGCCGGACAUUCUGUGCCACCACUCCCUCGUCCUUAGCUGCAGGGAUCUUGCCCUUCAUCCAGAGACUGAGACCUGGAAGCGAGGCCCACCUCUGCACCUGCCCCCAUAGCUGGGCCUUCGUUCCUCAAACUAAUGAAAUUGAGGCUCAAGAGGUUACACGAUUUGACCAAGUCACACAACUGCAAACAAGUAGGUGUCAGUUUCCAGGAUCGAAGCCAGGAGGAAGCUCAAAGAGCAUCCAGCCCCCAUGCUGUAAAAGGGAUUCAAGGCCCAGAACCAGAAGGUGAUUAGCCUUGCAGCAGGACAGAGGGCAGACAGCACCGAAGCCCAGCUCUGCUCACUCUGCUGGGAGCACUUCCCAGGCCACUGUGGAUCUGGGCCUUGUCCUCAGCUUGGGGUGGCUGCAGGAGCAUCCUGAGGAAUGAACCCAUGCCAGAGCACUGAAGAUGCCCCCACCGCCCCCGCUGCAGACUCCUCACCCAGGUCUCUUCAUCUCAAAGGGGCUGUCAUAGAGGCCCAGGGCUGUGACCUGGAGGAACACACUCCACCUUCCUGACAUCCAGCCCGUCUAUCAUUCUAAUAGUGGAAAGGAACAGAGUGAGGACUCAAAGGGAGGUGCUGGGAGCAACCAAGGACAUCAGUGCCUCCUUCUCAACCAGACACCCUGGGCUCUGAGCCCUAAUGGUUCUCCCUCCCACUGUGGCCUAAGUGUCUUCACAUUCAAGGCUCUGGCAGUCAUGAGGAUUACAUCUCAACAUGAGAUUUGGAGGGACCAUCCAAACUAUAUCACACGGUAAGACAUGAUGCAUGUUUAUACACUUUAUUGGACAAUUUGUUUACUGACAGCCAAAAGCACCCUCACAAAUACAAAGGCUCAGCACUGUCUGGGGAGUCUUUCCAGCCUCAUUUUCCACCACUGCUCUUUGAUGCCUCUCUGGGUGAACCGUGUGUUGCUUUCUCUUUGCUUUGGCUGCUAACUGCCAGGCCCCUCUAGUGUCCUCAAAUUGGUGAACUCCUAGUCAUCCUUCAAAGCCCAACUCAAAUUUCCCCACCUCUGCAAAGGCUUCUGAGCUCCCCUAGGCAGAACUCAAAGCCCUGUCUUGCUGCCUUCAAAUGUCUUCACUGUGGAAUUUCUCACAUCAUUCUCCAGCCACUUGUCUGCUGGCCAGUCUGCUGCACUGUGAGCUCUUGGGUGCUGCAGCUCUUUCUCCAUGAUCUGUUAUCCCCUAGCAUUGCACCUGGUAUGCUGCAGGUGCUGGUCAAUGCUGCAUAUUGCAUUACUGAAAAUACUGCUUCCUCCAGGCCUCCUGUAACCCUUGGCUCUCCUGAUGUUCUUGCCCAGCUGGGCAGGAAGGUGGUGCAUCUCUCAUGUCCCAGGAGAAACAAGCUCUCAGUGAGGACACAGUAUGGGAAUAGGCUCCUGCUGCACCACACUGUCCCUGCUCUCUUCAACCCAGGUGGGAUCCCUGGCCCAGACAGG